rnacentral:rRNA from 1 species
CGCAUCUGUGCAUGCAGCAUAUCAAUAAGCGGAGGAAAAGAAACUAACAAGGAUUCCCUCAGUAACGGCGAGUGAAGCGGGAAGAGCUCAAAUUUGAAAUCUUGAAAGGUCACCUUUCACGAAUUGUAGUUUAAAGAAGUGUUUUCUGUUACGAUCGUAAUAUAAGUUCUUUGGAAUAGGACAUCACAGGAGGGUGAGAAUCCCGUCUAUGAUUGCGAUUUGUAGCUUUGUGAUACACUUUCAAAGAGUCGGGUUGUUUGGGAAUGCAGCCCAAAACGGGAGGUAAAUUUCUUCUAAGGCUAAAUAUUGGCGAGAGACCGAUAGCGAACAAGUACCGUGAGGGAAAGAUGAAAAGAACUUUGAAAAGAGAGUUAAAUAGUACGUGAAAUUGUCAAAAGGGAAGCGUUUAACACCAGUGUUGUUUUCUGAAAAUCAACCUCUGUUAGCUUUAUGCAUGUUUGUUUAGACCUAAUCAGCUAUCUUGCAUGUUCUAUUGUUUGCAGUGGUGCACUUUUCAGUUUACAGGUCAACAUCAGUUUUUUUUACCGUAAAAAAGUUAAAGAAAGGUAGCUCAUGGCUCCGGUCGUGAGUGUUAUAGUCUUUUUCCUAUGCGGUAGGAGAGACUGAGGUCUGCAGUGUAGGCUAUUUGGCUAGAUACUCAGGUGCUAUGUGAUACCAUUUCAUAAACAACUUGUUGAUUAUGUUUUGUCUAUUGCAUACUCGCUUGUACUAUCAUACCUACGCUUAGGAUGUUGACGAUCAACUGAGCGCG